rnacentral:tRNA from 1 species
CUGGGUGUAGCUCAGUUUGGUAGAGUUCUUGGCUUGGAACCAAGAUGUCGGAGGUUCAAAUCCUCCCGCCCAGACCA